GGAGUUUUGUAACAUUUUGUCAUAUUGAAUUCACUGAUACUUAGGUCUGAGCAUUAGGUCGCUGAGGAUCCCCAACUACCAGCUAAAAUCACUGGGAGCUGUGUUGUGGAGGGAGUUUGAAGGCAACAUUGGAACAGGUGGCACAUAUAGAAGCUGAGAAACUGGCCCCAGAAGUGCUGGGGAAGACUGCAGUCACUCUCUGGAAAGGAGGAGGAGUGUUAGAGGCUGUAGAGAAUGGCCAGGAGGAGGUGCCCUACCUGCAGUGAGUGGAGAACCCUGUCACAGGAGUGAUUAGAAAAAUCCACUGAGGUUGUAACACCUCCAGAGAAGUACCACCCACCACCUGCAGAGGCUCACAUAAAUUGCUUCAAACAGGAUUCUGCAGAGACCAACAAAGAGAGGAC